rnacentral:sRNA from 1 species
GCUGGGCAUGGUGGCACAUGCCUGUAAUCCCAGCUGCCUGGAAGGCUGAGGUAGGAGGAUCGCAAGUUCAAGACCAAGCUUGGCCACUUAGUGAGACCCUGUCUCAA